rnacentral:rRNA from 1 species
UAGGGAAUCUUCGGCAAUGGGGGCAACCCUGACCGAGCAACGCCGCGUGAGUGAAGAAGGUUUUCGGAUCGUAAAGCUCUGUUGUAAGAGAAGAACGUGUGUGAGAGUGGAAAGUUCACACAGUGACGGUAACUUACCAGAAAGGGACGGCUAACUACGUGCCAGCAGCCGCGGUAAUACGUAGGUCCCGAGCGUUGUCCGGAUUUAUUGGGCGUAAAGCGAGCGCAGGCGGUUUAAUAAGUCUGAAGUUAAAGGCAGUGGCUUAACCAUUGUUCGCUUUGGAAACUGUUAAACUUGAGUGCAGCAGGGGAGAGUGGAAUUCCAUGUGUAGCGGUGAAAUGCGUAGAUAUAUGGAGGAACACCGGUGGCGAAAGCGGCUCUCUGGUCUGUAACUGACGCUGAGGCUCGAAAGCGUGGGGAGCAAACAGG